rnacentral:rRNA from 1 species
GACGAACGCUGGCGGCGUGCUUAACACAUGCAAGUCGAACGGAAAGGCCCUGCUUUUGUGGGGUGCUCGAGUGGCGAACGGGUGAGUAACACGUGAGUAACCUGCCCUUGACUUUGGGAUAACUUCAGGAAACUGGGGCUAAUACCGGAUAGGAGCUCCUGCUGCAUGGUGGGGGUUGGAAAGUUUCGGCGGUUGGGGAUGGACUCGCGGCUUAUCAGCUUGUUGGUGGGGUAGUGGCUUACCAAGGCUUUGACGGGAAGCCGGCCUGAGAGGGUGACCGGCCACAUUGGGACUGAGAUACGGCCCAGACUCGUACGGGAGGCAGCAGUGGGGAAUAUUGCACAAUGGGCGGAAGCCUGAUGCAGCAACGCCGCGUGCGGGAUGACGGCCUUCGGGUUGUAAACCGCUUUCGCCUGUGACGAAGCGUGAGUGACGGUAAUGGGUAAAGAAGCACCGGCUAACUACGUG